rnacentral:snRNA from 10 species
AAAAAAAAAGGGUUCGGGCCCCCAGGGGGCCCAGGGGGAGGUUUUGCCAUUGCACAUCGGUUUAUUUGACCCUUGCAAUUACCCCAAAGGGGGGAAACCCGGUCGUAAAAUUUCUGGAAGGGGGGACUGCUUUCCCCCUAUCCCCGU